UCCCUAGUAACGGCGAGUGAAGCGGGAAGAGCUCAAAUUUGAAAUCUGGUGGCCUCAGGUCAUCCGAGUUGUAAUCUAUAGAAGUGUUUUCCGUGCUGGCUCAUGUACAAGUCCCUUGGAACAGGGCGUCAUAGAGGGUGAGAAUCCCGUCCUUGACAUGAACUACCAGUGCUCUGUGAUACAUUUUCAACGAGUCGAGUUGUUUGGGAAUGCAGCUCAAAAUGGGUGGUAAAUUCCAUCUAAAGCUAAAUAUUGGCGAGAGACCGAUAGCGAACAAGUACCGUGAGGGAAAGAUGAAAAGCACUUUGGAAAGAGAGUUAAACAGUAUGUGAAAUUGUUGAAAGGGAAACGAUUGAAGUCAGUCGUGCUCUUUGGAUUCAGCCGGUUCUGCCGGUGUACUUCCUUUGAGUGGGGUCAACAUCAGUUUUGAUCGCUGGAUAAAGGCUGGAGGAACGUAGUACCCUCGGGUAAACUUAUAGCCUCCUGUCACAUACAGUGGUUGGGACUGAGGAACGCAGCACGCCUUUAUGGCCGGGAUUCGUCCACGUACGUGCUUAGGAUGUUGACAUAAUGGCUUUAAACGACCCGUCUUGAAACACGGACCA
rnacentral:rRNA from 1 species